UGCAUCAAACUUAGGAUUCCC
rnacentral:sRNA from 1 species